UAGCUGGCUGGCGAAGAAAUGC
rnacentral:miRNA from 2 species